rnacentral:rRNA from 1 species
CAUUGAAACACCGGUACUCGCGCGAUCACCGAAGUUAAGCAACGUCGAACCUGGUCAGUACCUAGAUGGGUAACCACUUGCGGAUACCAGGUGGUGUAAG